AACAGCUCAAAUUUGAAAUCUGGCUCUUUCAGAGUCCGAGUUGUAAUUUGCAGAGGGCGCUUUGGAGUUGGCAGCGGUCCAAGUUCCUUGGAACAGGACGUCACAGAGGGUGAGAAUCCCGUACGUGGUCGCUAGCCUUCGCCGUGUAAAGCCCCUUCGACGAGUCGAGUUGUUUGGGAAUGCAGCUCUAAAUGGGAGGUAAAUUUCUUCUAAAGCUAAAUACUGGCCAGAGACCGAUAGCGCACAAGUAGAGUGAUCGAAAGAUGAAAAGCACUUUGGAAAGAGAGUCAAAUAGCACGUGAAAUUGUUGAAAGGGAAGCGCUUGCAGCCAGACUUGCCUGUAGUUGCUUAUCCGGACUCUUGUCCGGUGCACUCUUCUAUAGGCAGGCCAGCAUCAGUUUGGGCGGUUGGAUAAAGGUCUCUGUCACGUACCUCUCUUCGGGGAGGCCUUAUAGGGGAGACGACAUGCAACCAGCCUGGACUGAGGUCCGCGCAUCUGCUAGGAUGCUGGCGUAAUGGCUGUAAGCGGCCCGUCUUGAAACACGGACCAAGGAGUCUAACAUCUAUGCGAGUGUUUGGGUGUCAAGCCCAGACGCGUAAUGAAAGUGAACGGAGGUGGGAACCCUUUGGGUGCACCAUCGACCGAUCCUGAUGUCUUCGGAUGGAUUUGAGUAAGAGCAUGGCUGUUGGGACCCGAAAGAUGGUGAACUAUGCUUGAAUAGGGUGAAGCCAGAGGAAACUCUGGUGGAGGCUCGCAGCGGUUCUGACGUGCAAAUC
rnacentral:rRNA from 1 species